GAUUUACUUGACAAGAUACAGUGAAAUCAAAGUAUAACACAGGCGCAGUUGCACCUGGAAUAACUUAUCGUGAGCACGAAUCAAUCAAAAGCACCUAUAACAUUUAUUCGCUAUCAAAAUAUUUUUGAAAUCAGACGUUUGAGAAGUUAUAACUCAAAAACACUGAAGAAACUUAGCCUUUUAGAAGACUAAAAUUCGGCUACUUACGAUAUGUUUGGCAAAGAGACAAAUUAUGGUGGAAUUAGAAAUUGUAAAUGUUCAAUGGCCUCGGAAAUGUGCUAUUUUAAGGGGAAAUUGAAAUUGACUUCCUUGGAAUAUUGACAUUACAUGUUUCAUUAUGCGGAGAGUGUACUAUAAAAUCUUGAUUUAUAAUUAUAUUAUAUGAUC